UACUCUGGAUUAGGCUUUGGCUUCAGGGAAUGUUGUGGCUGGUUUGAUCUUCUAUCCAGACCACUAAAGUUUUCUCCAUAUCAGC
ensembl:miRNA